rnacentral:rRNA from 1 species
CUACAGGAUCCCUAGUACGGCGAGCGAGCGGGAUUGCUCGAGCCUGAAUCCCUGGCACGUUGUGCCAGAGAUUGUGGCCGGGAGAGGAAGCCUGUGCCCGGGCUGGUGCCGUCGAAGGUGACCUGGAAAGGCACGUCAUAGAGGGUGAGAGCCCCGUGUGAGACGCUGCCGGGCUGGGCCGUUGCUGCCUUCGGAGAGUCGGGUUGUUCGGGAAUGCAGCCCAAAGUGGGUGGUAAACUCCAUCUAAAGCUGAAUACUGGCACGAGACCGAUAGCGAACAAGUACCGUGAGGGAAAGGUGAAAAGUACUUUGAAAAGAGAGUCAAAAAGACCGCGAAACCGUUGGGAGGGAAACGAAUGCGGCUGAAGUGGCUCCCCGUCAGGCUCAGGACACGUCGAAGGGUCCCGCGGGUGCUUGCGGCUUGCUUGCCGCCGUCUGUCGGGCGCUUUUCGACGCAUCUGCACUUCUGCGGGGAGCCGGCCAACGACAGUUGUUGCCCGGCCCAAGAGGGCAGCGUGGGAAGGUGGCCCCGCGUUCGCGUG